GUGCUCACUUCAGCAGCACGUAUUCUAAAAUUGGAUCUAUACAGAGAAGAUUAACACAGUCUCUGGGCAGAGAAGACAGGCAAAUUUGUGAAGGGCUCCAUAUUUUU